rnacentral:rRNA from 1 species
AGUGAACGCUGGCGGUAGGCCUAACACAUGCAAGUCGAACGGCAGCACAGUAAGAGCUUGCUCUUACGGGUGGCGAGUGGCGGACGGGUGAGGAAUACAUCGGAAUCUACUUUUUCGUGGGGGAUAACGUAGGGAAACUUACGCUAAUACCGCAUACGACCUUCGGGUGAAAGCAGGGGAUCUUCGGACCUUGCGCGAUUGAAUGAGCCGAUGUCGGAUUAGCUAGUUGGCGGGGUAAAGGCCCACCAAGGCGACGAUCCGUAGCUGGUCUGAGAGGAUGAUCAGCCGCACUGGAACUGAGACACGGUCCAGACUCCUACGGGAGGCAGCAGUGGGGAAUAUUGGACAAUGGGCGCAAGCCUGAUCCAGCCAUACCGCGUGGGUGAAGAAGGCCUUCGGGUUGUAAAGCCCUUUUGUUGGGAAAGAAAAGCAGCAGGUUAAUACCCCGCUGUUCUGACGGUACCCAAAGAAUAAGCACCGGCUAACUUCGUG